rnacentral:rRNA from 1 species
AUUGAACGCUGGCGGCAGGCUUAACACAUGCAAGUCGAGCGAGCGGCGGACGGGGGAGUAAUGUCUGGGAAACUGCCUGAUGGAGGGGGAUAACUAAUGGAAACGGUAGCUAAUACCGCAUACCAUCAGAUGUGCCCAGAUGGGAUUAGCGAGGGGGGGGGGUAAUGGCUCACCUAGGCGACGAUACCUAGCUGGCAUGAGAGGAUGACAAGCCACACUGGAACUGAGACACGGUCCAGACUCCUACGGGAUGUAGCAGUGGGUAAUAUUGCACAAUGGGCGCAAGCCUGAUGCAGCCAUGCCGCGGGUGUGAAGAAGGCCUGCGGGUUGUAAAGCACUUUCAGCGAGGAGGCGUUACUCGCAGAAGAAGCACCGGCUAACUCCGUGCCAGCAGCCGCGGUAAUAC